GAGCAUGCGGAUUAAUUCGAUGCAACGCGAAGAACCUUACCAAGGCUUGACAUAUACGAGAACGCUGCAGAAAUGUAGAACUCUUUGGACACUCGUAAACAGGUGGUGCAUGGUUGUCGUCAGCUCGUGUCGUGAGAUGUUGGGUUAAGUCCCGCAACGAGCGCAACCCUCGUUCUAUGUUGCCAGCACGUAAUGGUGGGAACUCAUGGGAUACUGCCGGGGUCAACUCGGAGGAAGGUGGGGAUGACGUCAAAUCAUCAUGCCCCUUAUGUCUUGGGCUUCACGCAUGCUACAAUGGCCGGUACAAAGGGCUGCAAUACCGUAAGGUGGAGCGAAUCCCAAAAAGCCGGUCCCAGUUCGGAUUGAGGUCUGCAACUCGACCUCAUGAAGUCGGAGUCGCUU
rnacentral:rRNA from 1 species